rnacentral:rRNA from 1 species
AUUGAACGCUGGCGGCAUGCCUUACACAUGCAAGUCGAACGGCAGCACGGGUGCUUGCACCUGGUGGCGAGUGGCGAACGGGUGAGUAAUAUAUCGGAACGUACCUUAUCGUGGGGGAUAACGCAGCGAAAGCUGCGCUAAUACCGCAUACGCCCUGAGGGGGAAAGCGGGGGACCGUAAGGCCUCGCGCGAUUAGAGCGGCCGAUAUCUGAUUAGCUUGUUGUGGGGUAAAGCCCACCAAGGCGACGAUCAGUAGCUGGUCUGAGAGGACGAUCAGCCACACUGGGACUGAGACACGGCCCAGACUCCUACGGGAGGCAGCAGUGGGGAAUUUUGGACAAUGGGGGCAACCCUGAUCCAGCAAUGCCGCGUGAGUGAAGAAGGCCUCGGUGUAAGACUCUUUUGUUCUAGGGAAGAAACAAGCAGCUCUGGGUU